rnacentral:tRNA from 1 species
GCCUGAGUGGCUCAGUUGGUUGAGCGGCCGACUUCGGCUCAGGUCAUGAUCUCGCGAUCUGUGGGUUUGAGCCCCACGUCGGGCU